rnacentral:rRNA from 1 species
AACGAACGCUGGCGGCAGGCUUAACACAUGCAAGUCGAACGGGCGUAGCAAUACGUCAGUGGCAGACGGGUGAGUAACACGUGGGAAUAUCCCUUUCAGCUCGGAAUAACUCAGGGAAACUUGAGCUAAUACCGAAUACGUCCUUCGGGAGAAAGAUUUAUCACUGAGUGAUUAGCCCGCGUCUGAUUAGCUAGUUGGUGAGGUAAUGGCUCACCAAGGCGACGAUCAGUAGCUGGUCUGAGAGGAUGAUCAGCCACACUGGGACUGAGACACGGCCCAGACUCCUACGGGAGGCAGCAGUAGGGAAUAUUGGACAAUGGGGGCAACCCUGAUCCAGCCAUGCCGGGUGAGUGAUGAAGGCCUUAGGGUUGUAAAGCGCUUUUGCUAGGGAAGAUAAUGACUGUACCUAGAGAAUAAGCCCCGGCUAACUUCGUGCCAGCAGCCGCCGCAG